AAACUCUUUAAACCUGGUGUUAUUUCUAAUGCUAUCGCUAUUCCGUCCAUUGUGCAAGGGGCUAUAGUGUUUAAUAUCUGAGUUAAUAACUCGAAUAGGGCUCUAUGACCAUCCGUCACCUUUACAUGCACUGUACAGGAUCAGAAUGAUUCUGCUGAGAAAAAGUUCGGGGAUAGUACAGACUCAUUCAAACGUAGAGUCCUCACCUUAGUUAGAGCAGGACAAAUAUUUAUUAGUCACUGCAUUAAAGCAGGCAUAUAUUGUGAACAUACAGUUGUCGGAGCCUCAAAAAAUAUCGAAUGUUCCUAAAAACGAAAAUAGCGGAUAUUUGGCCAAACGUCAUUUAACAAAAUAUCCACAUCUUGGCCAUGUUACGUCCUGACCUACGGUUACGAUCGGGUUCUAACGGAG